rnacentral:lncRNA from 12 species
GUAAAUAAAAUCUUAAAAAAAAAAAAGAAAGAAAGAAAUCAAAGUCCUUCUUUAAAACAACAACAACAGAAACCACGGGCGCCUGGCUGGCUCAAUCAAUUAAGCAUCUGCCUUCAGCUCAGAGACCGUAGACCUCUUCCCUUUGGACCCUAUGAACACCUACAGCUGGACUUCAUCAACUGCCACUUGAUAUGGGCUGUCAAUAUGUCCCUGUUCUGUUUGUAUGUUUUUCUAGAUGGGUUGAAGCUGUUCCCCACAGCAAGUCUGCUGCCUUUACAAUGGAAAAAAAAUAUGUUUAAAAAUGUACUUCCCAUUUGGGGUACACCUUCUAUAAUCUCUAAUGAUUGGGGCACCCACUUCACUGGGCAAAUCACAUGAGCCUUAAUAAAAGCCUUAAAACUUCUUAAAAUUCUAGCA